GGGAUCGCCCUUCCUACGGGAGGCAGCAGUAGGGAAUCUUCCACAAUGGACGAAAGUCUGAUGGAGCAACGCCGCGUGAGUGAAGAAGGUUUUCGGAUCGUAAAACUCUGUUGUAAGGGAAGAACACGUACGAGAGUAACUGCUCGUACCUUGACGGUACCUUAUUAGAAAGCCACGGCUAACUACGUGCCAGCAGCCGCGGUAAUAAGGGCGAUCC
rnacentral:rRNA from 1 species